CACUUUUUGAAAGAAGAAUUGUCCCAAUAAUUGAAACUCAACUCCCCAAAGUACCCAUCUCAUCUAAUUUCCCCCCUUCCCCGUCACUCACUUGAGCAUUCCAGAUCUGAGCUAGGACCCAGCGCAUUAGCCAGCGGUGGAUCCGAAGGGGCCAUCGCGGUGGGACUUGAUUUACUCACAGUGAAGUAACAAGGUGAUCGAGCUAGUGUCAUCCCGUUUACAAGGUUCCUGGAAAACCAAUAUAGGUACACCUACGACGUAGCAAGAGACGGAUCAGUCACAGAGGUACAUACUGGCCUUUCGGGGUUACCAUCUUCGUCUUGUUUAAUUGGGCUUGUAUUUGUAAUGAAAUCUUCGUGAUUUGAUAUGAUAACAUGAACGAGACUGGUUCUCUGAUUAUCAAGGCUCCCUUAAUUUUAGGCAUCCAAUAACCUAAAAUGUACGAAGUUUAAUUGGUGAAAUUCAUUUUGUUCUACCCUUUUUGUGGUAAAUAUAAUUUUUUGGGAAUGUGCAAAUAUGUAUCACAUAGAAUGAAUUGGAAGUCACUACUUUUGUCAGCUGCUUACAAACCAUUUUAAUCAACCAUUUCGCUAUAGCCACGGUGAGAACUCCAGUUAAUUCCGCGAGAUUACUGAUGAUGCUUGAAGACAUCAUGCUAUUAUAUCGGGUAGAGAGCACAAUUCUCGUGCAGCGUUACAUCAGAGCCUGGAUCGACCGCGCUAGGCGUACGAUCAUUGAAAAUGCUAGGCAGUACAGCUUGAUAAGUAAGGUUCCUCAUCAGUUGAAACACUUGGAUCGACUCAUUCAUGUCAAUGAUGUUGACUGCAUAGCAAACUUAAGAAUGGAUCGCAACACAUUUGGGAAGUUGUGUCGCAUUCUCACUGCAAAUGGAGGAUUGAGCCCAGGGAAAGGAUUAGGCAUUGAAGAACAGGUGGCGAUUUUUUUGGGAGUCUUAGCGCACCACAAUAAAAACCGCGUGGUUCGUUUCAGUUUUUUCAGGUCCGGUUCGACAGUGUCCCAUUACGUAAACAAGGUUUUGGGGGCUGUGUUGAGUCUCCACACAGUGUUAUUAUCGAAGCCUAAACCCGUGACGGAUGAUUGCAUUGAUCAUAGAUGGAAAUGGUUCAAGGGCUGUCUCGGUGCACUCGACGGUACACACAUCAACGUACUGGUAGGUACCAGUGACAAACCUCGUUAUCGCACGCGAAAGGGGUCUAUUGCUACGAACACCUUGGCAGUUUGCGAUCGCAAUAUGCAGUUUGUUUAUUUCCUACCUGGGUGGGAAGGUUCCGCCGGCGACUCUCGCGUACUCAGGGAUGCGGUUGCGCGACCCAACGGACUACGAGUUCCACAUGGCUGUUACUAUUUAUGCGACAACGGGUACGCCAAUAGCAACGGCUUUUUGACCCCGUACAAAGGAGUUCGAUACCACCUCAAGGAAUGGGGCAUAGGGAAUGCACAGCCACAAAAUCCAAAGGAAUUGUUCAACAUGAGGCACAUCAAGGCAAGGAAUGUCAUCGAGAGAGCCUUUGCGGUUUUGAAGAUACGUUGGGGAAUAUUACGUAGUGCAUCUUAUUACCCAAUUCAAACACAAAUCAGGUUAAUCAUGGCGUGUUUCCUUUUCCAUAAUUUUGUUCGCUACGAGAUGAGCACUGACCCCUUUGAAGAAACGGUUGAUGGAGAGAGCUCAGCAACCGGCACGGAACAAGAUAGUCCACAACCUGAAUAUAUAGACUACGUUGAUCCAACUCCAGAAUGGACUCAGUUCAGGGACUCCAUUGCGAUGACAAUGUGGAACAAUAGAUAGCGCGUUUGUCGCAGUCAUGUCAUUAGAUCCACCCAGACUUUGUUUACAAUUUUAUUGUAAUGGCCGAGGGCAUACUCGAAUGCAGAUGUGGCAGGGGGAAGAUGGAGUUGCGUCGUGCAGGGAAAACGGCUGCAAAUGCAGGUCGUUACUACUUCAGAUGCCCCGACAAACUGAACCAUGUUGGAUCAUUUCAGUGGUACGACGAGACUGUCCGGGGACUGGGCUUGGAAGGAAAAAGUGGCUUUGAAGAACGGGGGAAAACAUUUAUGGGUGCCGAAUAGAGAUCUUAUGCCACCGGCAGUGCAGUUGAAUAUAAAGGAGGUGUCCAUUGCUAUCGCGCUUCAACCACGAACGAUAUGAGGACCCUAGUGCAGCUUGGGUUCAUGGCCGUCGUAUUCUUGGCAGUGGGAAUAAUUUUAGGCAGGCUUCUGUAAACCGUAUCGUAUUCAGCAACGAGGUCUACUUUUUUGUCUUUUUGUAUAUGUAUAUAUGAUCCCUUGUCAUGCUCCCUUUCAUCAAACCAACCAUGACUUCCCAAUCUAAUGUUAUGUCUAUUACUCUGUUCUUGACGCGUCCAAA